GACGAACGCUGGCGGCGUGCUUAACACAUGCAAGUCGAACGAGGUCCAACCGGUGGCAACACCGGAGACGACCUAGUGGCGAACGGGUGAGUAACACGUGAGGAACCUGCCCCGAAGUCUGGGAUAACCCCCCGAAAGGGGAGCUAAUACCGGAUGCCCCCAUCUGAUCGCAUGUUCGGAUGAGGAAAGGAUUCUGCUUCGGGAGGGCCUCGCGGCCUAUCAGCUUGUUGGUGAGGUAACGGCUUACCAAGGCGACGACGGGUAGCUGGUCUGAGAGGACGAUCAGCCACACUGGGACUGAGACACGGCCCAGACUCCUACGGGAGGCAGCAGUGGGGAAUCUUGCGCAAUGGGCGAAAGCCUGACGCAGCAACGCCGCGUGCGGGAUGACGGCCUUCGGGUUGUAAACCGCUUUCAGUGGGGACGAAAUCAGACGGUACCCACAGAAGAAGCCCCGGCCAACUACGUGCCAGCAGCCGCAGUAACAC
rnacentral:rRNA from 1 species